UAGGGAAUCUUCGGCAAUGGGGGGAACCCUGACCGAGCAACGCCGCGUGAGUGAAGAAGGUUUUCGGAUCGUAAAGCUCUGUUGUUAAGGAAGAACGAGUGUGAGAAUGGAAAGUUCAUACUGUGACGGUACUUAACCAGAAAGGGACGGCUAACUACGUGCCAGCAGCCGCGGUAAUACGUAGGUCCCGAGCGUUGUCCGGAUUUAUUGGGCGUAAAGCGAGCGCAGGCGGUUAGAUAAGUCUGAAGUUAAAGGCAGUGGCUCAACCAUUGUAGUCUUUGGAAACUGUUUAACUUGAGUGCAGAAGGGGAGAGGGGAAUUCCAUGUGUAGCGGUGAAAUGCGUAGAUAUAUGAAGGAACACCGGUGGCGAAAGCGGCUCUCUGGUCUGUAACUGACGCAGAGGCUCGAAAGCGUGGGGAGCGAACAGG
rnacentral:rRNA from 1 species